UUGCUCAUGUCAGCAGCACAUAUACUAAAGCUGGAAUAAUACUGAGAAGAUUAGAAUGGCCCCUCUCAAGGAUGACACACAAAUUUGCGAAGCAUUCCACUUUGGC
ensembl:snRNA U6 U6 spliceosomal RNA